AAGAUCACGGCCGUAGUCGUGUCCGAGAGGAGAAGAAAACUUAUAUAACAACCUAGCGCCGAUCGGUAUUCUUUAGUUAAGUGCCAACCUUCGUACGGUCAAGAUCGUACGAGAUCCGCAGCAGUAGCAGCACCAGGAGCAGCUCCCAGAGUGUGUGUGUGCGCCGAGUGGUAGCCUGGAAGAAAGCAAUUUCUUCCUGCAGGAAAGCGCGACCGAGCCGAGGAGUCCCGUUUCCGGCUAGGAAGUUGUUCUGUGUGCUCACAGUGUAACGAAUUGUGUUCGAAGGAACAAACAGUUUCCGGAGUGGAAAAGAAGCCCGAUCUCUUCUGAGCUUGCGCAGAAGCAGAGUGUUGAGAAGAAGCGAGAAUCGCUGGGAAGCAAUCGAGGCAAUUAGAAGCAAGGAAAGGGGGAAACAAACUACUGUUAGUGCGAUUUUGCGGGAAAGCGUUCAAGCGCGAUCCUCAUCACCACCAGAAGUGAAAUUCUGACGAAGGCCACGAAAUCUCGAAAAAGUUCGUUUUUUUGCCGCGAGCAAAAAAUAGUUAGCUAACCCACGGAAAGAGAUAGCCAAGACCAAAGUGCGAUACAAGUGUUGUGAGUAGCAGACAGAAGUCGCGAGGAGAUCCAGCCCCCCAAGCAGCGUGCAGAACUGCUGCCGUGGACCCAGAGAUUCCUCGUAGCAAGAACACUUUGGCCAAUUAAAAUUAAUCGCACAGACCAGUUCCUGCCCGA